rnacentral:rRNA from 1 species
UACGGGGGGGGCAAGCGUUGUUCGGAAUUACUGGGCGUAAAGGGCUCGUAGGCGGCCAACUAAGUCGGAUGUGAAAUCCCCAGGCUCAACCUGGGAACUGCAUCCGAUACUGGAUGGCUUGAAUUCGGGAGAGGGAUGCAGAAUUCCAGGUGUAGCGGUGAAAUGCGUAGAUAUCUGGAGGAAUACCGGUGGCGAAGGCGGCAUCCUGGACCGGUACUGACGCUGAUGCGCGAAAGCGUGGGGAGCGAACAGG